rnacentral:rRNA from 1 species
AGGGUUCGAUCCUGGCUCAGGAUGAACGCUAGCGGCAGGCCUAACACAUGCAAGUCGAGGGGCAGCACGGUGUAGCAAUACACUGGUGGCGACCGGCGCACGGGUGCGUAACGCGUAUGCAACCUACCCAUAACAGGGGGAUAACACUGAGAAAUUGGUACUAAUACCCCAUAACAUCAGGACCGGCAUCGGUUCUGGUUGAAAACUCCGGUGGUUAUGGAUGGGCAUGCGUUGUAUUAGCUGGUUGGUGAGGUAACGGCUCACCAAGGCGACGAUCAGUAGCCGACCUGAGAGGGUGAUCGGCCACAUUGGAACUGAGACACGGUCCAA